rnacentral:tRNA from 1 species
GUUCUGGUAGCUUAGGGGUAGAGGAACCGGCUGUAGUCCGGUAGGUUAGGCGUUCAAAUCGCCUCCGGAACU